rnacentral:rRNA from 1 species
CUGCAGUAUUUUGACUGUACUAAGGUAGCAUAAUCAUUAGUUUUUUAAUUGAAAGCUAGAAUGAAGGGUUGGAUGAGAAAAUAAGUGUCUUUAUAAAAAUAAUUUAGAAUUUUAUUUUUAAGUUAAAAAGCUUAAAUUUUUUUAAAAGACGAGAAGACCCUAUAGAGUUUUAUAAUUUAAUUUUAUUAUAUAUUUAGAAUUUAUUAUAUAUUAUUUUUAAAUUAUUUAAUUGGGGCGAUUAAAAAAUUUAUUUAACUUUUUUUGUAUUUUUAUAUUAAUUAAUAAAUUAUUGAUCCAUAAAUUGUGAUUAUAAGAUAAAAUUACCUUAGGGAUAACAGCGUAAUUUUAUUAGAAAGUU